rnacentral:piRNA from 1 species
UGGAAUACCACAGACGGGUUCACUUGUA